ACUCUCGUGUCAGAGUUUGAUCCUGGCUCAGGACGAACGCUGGCGGCGUGCCUAACACAUGCAAGUCGAGCGGGAGACUUCGGUCUCUAGCGGCGUACGGGUGAGUAACACGUGGGUAACCUGCCUUGUAGAGGGGGAUAGCCUUCCGAAAGGAAGAUUAAUACCGCAUAACAUUAUGCUAUCGCAUGAUAGUAUAAUCAAAGGAGCAAUCCGCUACAAGAUGGACCCGCGGCGCAUUAGCUAGUUGGUGAGGUAACGGCUCACCAAGGCAACGAUGCGUAGCCGGCCUGAGAGGGUGAACGGCCACAUUGGAACUGAGACACGGUCCAG
rnacentral:rRNA from 1 species